GUGGAAUAAUAAUUUGCUUUUAGCAGCCAGUAUGGUAAAAUUUUGUCAAAUUAAGCUAAGAAAAAUUGACGAUGAAUUAUUCACUUGCAAAUGAAUAAUUCAACCUUAUUGAAUCCAUAUUCAUGUGAACUUCAAUUUAACCCCUUAGCUUAUGAAUUGUGCGUGUUCGGUUAUUUAAAGGAAAAGAAUGUCAACAUUGAAAGUGAAACAAAGGUGAAUCAUUUGAUUCACUGAUUCGAUCCACACAAACAAAAAUCAAUCUUGUGCAGGUAAAACGAUGAUUAACAUAUAUUUUUAAUAUAAUAUGAAAUUAACCAGACCUACAAAAACCUAUUGCACGCGUUCACUUUCUAUUUCUAUUUCUAUUUAUGUUUAAAUUGCUUAUAUGAUCAUUGGAGGUCAACUCAAUACUUAAUUAGAUGGCUUCAAGACUAAAGUACACAAUUAACGAAGCUACAUAUUAUCGAGCCCAUGCCCCGUAAAUUGUUUAUGUUAGACUUUUUAUAAUUUGGAAUAAUUUUUUAUAUGGUUAUAAAUGAAAUAUAAAAAUUUGAGUCAAAUCGGUGUACAUGAGUUUGACAGCUAGUGCCCCUUUUUAAAUCUGUAUCCGAUUAUCUUUUCUUUUAAUCUGAAUGUUAUAAGACAAGGACAUCAUUUUGUUGUCCUAAAUCACUAAGUGGAUUUGAUUUUGAUGAAAUGAGGCAUUUGUGCAUCACCUAUUCCAUUUAUUAUUAUUUCUUUUUUGUUUCAAAGUGUUGUUUUCGAUAGCACAUUCCAUAUUAAAAGAGCCAAACUUUCUCUACUUUGAAGAUCUAUUGCAAAAUAUUUUCGAGGUGUUCAUAUAGUGUUAAGACUAAAUUUCCAGUGGCGGAUCCAGCCAUUUGAAAAAAGGGGGGUUCCCAACCCACGACAAAAGGGGGGG
rnacentral:lncRNA from 1 species